rnacentral:rRNA from 1 species
CUCGCGAGUGGCGGACGGGUGAGUAAUGUCUGGGAAACUGCCUGAUGGAGGGGGAAAACUACUGGAAACGGUAGCUAAUACCGCAUACCAUCGGAUGAGCCCAGAUGGGAUUAGCUAGUAGGUGGUGUAAAGGCUCACCUAGGCGACGAUCCCCAGCUGGUCUUAGAGGAUGACCGUCCACAUUGGAACUGAGAAUCGGUCCAGACUCCUACGGUAGGCAGCAGUUGGGAAUAUUGCACAAUGGGCGCAAGCCUGAUGCAUCCAUGCCGCGUGUAUGAAUAAGGCCUUCGGGUUGUAAAGUACUUUCAGCGGGGAGGCGUUACCCGCAGAAGAAGCACCGGCUAACUCCGUGCCAGCCGCCGCGGUAAUUC